rnacentral:rRNA from 1 species
GCCUACGGGGGGCAGCAGUGGGGAAUAUUGCGCAAUGGGCGAAAGCCUGACGCAGCGACACCGCGUGAGGGAUGAAGGUCUUCGGAUCGUAAACCUCUGUCAGCAGGGAAGAACGGUCACUGUGCUAAUCAGCAGUGAAUUGACGGUACCUGCAAAGGAAGCACCGGCUAACUCCGUGCCAGCAGCCGCGGUAAUACGGAGGGUGCGAGCGUUAAUCGGAAUUACCGGGCGUAAAGCGCUCGUAGGCGGUAUGUCAAGUCAAGGGUGAAAUCCCCGCGCUCAACGUGGGAACUGCCUUUGAAACU